rnacentral:lncRNA from 1 species
UAAAAAUAUUCAUUACCUUCGAUCAAAAUAUAGUGAUAAAUUUACUCCCACAAAAUGUAACAUAUUGAAUAAUUAAAUUCUCUCUUAUUAUUUAAAAAUAACCUUAACCUAUUGUAAAGGAGAUAGAGUUUGAAUUUUAAUAUUUAAUAAUUUUUUUAGAAAAAGUUGAUCGAGUACGGUGAACUUUUAGUUCGAUACUCUAAAAGGGAAAGUCAAGAAUAGGUAAAAUGAAUUUUUAAUGUAACUUGAGUUACAUUAUUUUUUUGAUUUAUAUCAAAAUAAAUACCAAAAAUAAUGAAAUGUAAGUUUCAUUUCUUCACUUUAAUUCACUAAUAAAACAAAUAGGCCAUUAUAGUCUUAU